AGGAAACGGUUAAAGGGGAAAACUGAUCCAGGGACUAACUCUGUCUCAGGGGCCAGAGCUGUAAGCCAAAAACGAAGAACAUGGAGACAUGGAGCCACUGGAAGUAAAAGAGCAGGCCCGCCAGCUAGCAAGAUGCUUCUUGUCGGUAGCUUUCAGGAGGUUUUGUAAAGGUACGACCCGCAAGCACACACUGAACAGAGAAAGGGAAUGCUCUUGUCUGAGAAAGAAGCCAGGCUUUCUAAAUGCACAUCUGCCGCGGACACCCGGCCCUCAGUUCCGUUUUCGUUCCCAUACGACUUCUUCGAGAAAGGUUUUUAAAGAAUCUGAAGAUAACCUGGUGGGCUCCGGAACAAAUCCUCUUCCAUAGAAGACAUCUGAGAAAGACCUGAUUCGAAAGAAGAGACUUGAAGACUUGAGAAACUUCCUGUUGACAAUUCUGUACCACACGGCCUGGACGCCCGGAAGACGCAGCUGGCAGCCACUGUCCACAGCCCACGGAGGUUCUUAGGGAAGUUUCUAGAAGACCUUGUGCUUUAGAGAGUUGUGAAAACGCAAGUGUUGUUAGUUCUUGAGAGGGACUUCCUUCCAAGCAGAAGAUGAACUGUGUGUGGCUCUGGUUGCCAAUUUGGCAGAAUCACAGUGGAAGAUGUGAACAGUGGUAAGAGAGCUGUCAGCACGUCAGCAGAGUCUCCUGAAGGAGUUAGGCCCUGGGGUCAGAUGAUUCUCCAGCUCUCAUCUUUGCCACAAAGGGGCUGCCAUGAUCCAAACACAGCGGCUUCUCCAAACACAGAGGAUCUGUCGGUUUGGCUCUACAGCUUAUGUGGGAGCGAGGGUGAUUUGCAGGAGGUAAAGGAGGAUCCCUCUCAGCAUCCUGCUAUCGGUAGUGAUCUCUCAGCAUAAAUCAGCUUCUCAGGCAGAGCUCAGGCUGCUAAAGAGAAGGGAGGGUUCUCUCCAAAAACAGAGUCUUUUUGGCAGAGAUGGUGGACCUGGCAUUGUAAAGAACGGGUUAUGAGUUGAUGAAUUAUUUAUAACGGAUUUUUUUAAAGCACUUGUUGCUAGACUCUGACGCUUUCCUAUCUAAACACCUCCUCUUCUCUGCCUCCACCCUCACCAGAUCCCCCUGUCCUGGGUCCUGUCUCCUCCGGAGUACCUUGGGCUGGGCUGCUUCAUUGUAUUACAAACACGUUAAUCCCCUUAUGCUCAGGAUGCAAAUGCGAUGGAGCCAAGGUCUGGGAAGCUAUGCAAAACAAUCUCUUAAGAAGCCUUUUCCCUUUUCCCUAAUGCCAGGACAGUACAAGAUAGCAGAUUUAGAAUUUAAGACUCGGAGGGUGCGCAAACAUCGAUCAUGAAAAUCAAACAACGGUCCAAUCAUGGGGUAAAAUAUAGACUCUGUAUUUAUGGCUUGGUUGUAUCCGCUGGGCAUGUCCAGCCUCACCAUAUAUUGUUGACAGAUCCGGUGGCAGUUCUCGUGUCGUUUAUUCCUUUUCUCAAUUUUCUGGCAUUGGCUCGAUCUAUAGUCGUGGGCAGUAAAUUACAGGGGUGAGCCUGGUUUCUAACCCUCUGGCUAGAGAGUUCCAAUUACCUGGCUAGGCAAGCUAAAUAUUUCAUUUUAAGAGACAUCAAAAUCGUAACAAGAAGAUCAUUUGAAUGAAAUUAAAUGCCAGUGGACUAGACUCACCAGCACCUCUGCGUGCGACAGCGUAUGAUAGAGUGGAGAAAACAAAGUCCCGACAGCAAACUGGCUUCUCUGACCGAGGUGAGCUACACCUUCUCUGUGAGUCCAGUUACUCUUUCUCCAGCCCAACCCAACAAUCUCAAGACUCUGUGCCUCUCAAGAUGAUUUUUUCUUCUUCU
rnacentral:lncRNA from 1 species